CCGAAACCCUAGCCUCCGUGUUCCUUUGGCUUGAAGCUUCUACAUCUCAUUUUCUAUGAAAACAUACGCUUGUGCUUGAAUCGACUGAUAAAGGAAACACGCUUUGCCCUUUCCAAUUCCUGCUCUCAAACCCUACUGUCCGAAUACACAUCUUCCCCUUCACGUUUCCUGCCGAUCAAUCGAUUUAUCAAUCCUAUAAUAUACUAAUCUCAUCAAUGUUGAAAGCCAUCAUCAAUUUGGUGUAGAUGGGUAUUCAAGAAAAUAAAGGCAUAAGUGGGAGUUUGGGUUCGUUUCUUACUCGCAGAUGCUUUGGUUGUCUUAUGAGGGGCUACUUAGAAGGUUUUGGUGUGUGCUGCCUCCUUUAGAAGAAGAGGAUGUUCCUCAACUAUACCCAAAAGGGCCAAAUCUUGGUGAGUGAGCUUGAGAAACAGUUGAAAAUGGAGAUAAAAUCAAGAAACAGAGCCAGAGCCGAAAAGAUCUGGUAAAAGACAUAAUUUCUCUUUAGAUGAUGGUAAUUUAGGGUCUUUUGAUGAGGAUAUUUUUGGGUAGUCUAAUGAGAAUAAGAGUCAGAAAGAAAGAUGGAGCUGAAGAUCUUUUAAAAAAGAAGAUGACAAUGGCUAGAUUUUAUGUAUUUUGGUUCCAGCGGAAUGAAAUGGUCAAGACCGGGUUCUCCGGGUUCGGAGGAACCCGACUUUGUAGUGGGGCUACUUCAACUUAAAAGAUGAAACAAGGGUUACUAAAUAAAGUUCAAUAAGCAAUCCCAAACACCCCUCUAAAAGUAACUUAUUUAGUUAAUGCUUAAAAGUCAAAUGUGGUCAUGAUUUGUUCUUUUGAUGUUUUCUUUUCUUAUAUGCUCAGGCAUGAUUUUACUUUCAACAACUUAUAUCAUGAGUUAGUUACUGUCAUUCAAUGUUAUACAAUCUUUUCGUUCAGUUUACCAUUCUACCAUUUCUUUGUUCAUAACAAUAUCGCCUCUAGCUCUAUUCUUCACCGAUUAUUGUGUUGCAGGACAUUUGUCACGGAUAUCUUAAGCUUGAAAAUACACUGUUGGAAGUGCAGCUCCUCGUGUUAAAAAUACUUAAAAUAUGUGAUUUUGGGUAUUCAAAGUUUGAUCACAAAUGUUGCAGCCGCUCCUCUCACCGAUCGACCUGAUCACAAGUGCAGGAUUCCGGCGACAUUCGAUUAGGAUUCCGGUUAGGUCAAUUUGAAUUCAGCGAGUGGUUGCAAUUGAUAAGAUUUGAUUAGCAUGGAACAUCGAAAGGAUGAGGUUGUUGAGAGGAUCAACUUUAGAUCAUAAAAUGAUGCACUCAUAGCUGCGACUUCAAGAUGGAAAGGUUGAACAUGAUCAUACAAGAGAUGGUGAAAGAAAAAGAAGAGAAAGAAAGGUUGAACGGAAGGAUGACAAAUGUUGAACGAUGCUAAAAAUUAGGUAUCAAAACGUCUAAUCAUCGAGUUGGUUAUAAGCACUUUAUUUUGGAUAUGUAUUUUGUUCGGAGAACUCAUGUAUUUAAUUUGAUGUUUUAAGUGGAAUGCUUUAUAUAAUUUUGAAAAUUCUAGA
rnacentral:lncRNA from 1 species